CACCAGGGAUGCCAAACCAGUGACAGGGGAAGGAGAAACCAGACAAAGUUGCAACACCGAGUGCCUGGGGUAGUCUGUUUUUCCCUUUGGGAGGGCUAACUCUGUGAAUUGGAUACUGGUCUAUCUUGUGCAAAUUCUCAAGAAUGAAUCUGAAAGAUGUUUAAAUCUCUUAUAUAUUGUAUCAUAUUCAUGAAGUUAAAGGAAAAAAAAAUGGAGGACUAUAAAGAAACUCAAAAGAACAUCCAACCUGACUCCUGUUCAAAGAUGGUUGAGGGUUGCCUAAGCAAUUACUGAAAGUGAACUAUUCACCUGAUCUGGAAGGAGAUGUAAGUAAGCACCUCAAAAAGAAGAUGAAGUCAUGCUUGUGAGAUGCUCUCACAUUUGCCAAGAGAAGAUUGCUUGCAAGACACAGCACCAUGGGUGUUUCUCUUUACUAGGUUUUUAAUUUCUAAGAUAUCCUUACUUGCCACUGAACAACGGUGAUGAUGUGUGACUGUCAUAUCAAAACCUACAUCAAAGCCAUUAUGGAUGAACACUGAAGAAAAGCUGUCCAAUACUUUUAGCUUUUCAUACUUUCAUUAAAGUCUUGUACAAAGUAUUGGUGUUUUUAAGCUUAUCUUCUUAAUAUUACUUUCAUAUGCAAUUCUUAAGUUGAUUUUAGUGAGGAAUGUAAUGUAAGAGACUAUAUGUAUGUUUCCCAGGAGAGAAGAGGGCUAGGCUUGCUUUUCUGUAGUGAAAUACAACAUUUGAAUCUUUCUAUACAUCCAGAAUAUUGUCCUGUUUAUCUGUCUGCAUCGUACUGUUGUGCUUGGUCUUAAAAAUCCAUCUGGCUGACCUCUGGAUAACCAGAUUUUUCAUCAAGCUACAUGAAAUACUCUGGGCUGGGAGAGAAAUAGAAAUGUUAAACUUAAUUAGCAAAACAUGUUACUAAUGCACCUGUAAUAAGAGCAGCAGGUCUGAGCCGUUGUAUAUUAAUUUCUUAUAUUAAGUUCCCAUUGCAUAUAUUUCUUAUAUUAAAUUGAGCCACAGACAAAAUCUGUAAAGUUAUCUACAUUGUCACUGCUUGAAGUGCAUUUUCUCAAAUUUCAGAAUAAUCAUCUUCAAUAUAGAAUCUAUUCAGUUGUUUGUCUUUUGCCUUUUAACAUACUUUUAAAACCCUAAGUAGACAAUAGUGUUAAUUAGGGGGGUUUUGACCCUGU